rnacentral:rRNA from 1 species
AUUGAACGCUGGCGGCAUGCCUUACACAUGCAAGUCGAACGGCAGCGGACCUUCGGGUGCCGGCGAGUGGCGAACGGGUGAGUAAUGCAUCGGAACGUGCCAUUGAGUGGGGGAUAACGUAGCGAAAGUUACGCUAAUACCGCAUAUUCUGUGAGCAGGAAAGCAGGGGACCGCAAGGCCUUGCGCUCUUUGAGCGGCCGAUGUCAGAUUAGCUAGUUGGUGAGGUAAAGGCUUACCAAGGCGACGAUCUGUAGCGGGUCUGAGAGGAUGAUCCGCCACACUGGAACUGAGACACGGUCCAGACUCCUACGGGAGGCAGCAGUGGGGAAUUUUGGACAAUGGGCGAAAGCCUGAUCCAGCCAUGCCGCGUGAGUGAAGAAGGCCUCGG